rnacentral:misc_RNA from 1 species
GGUGUCUAAAGAUGCCCCAAAUGAAAAAGAUUCAAACUUUACUUGCUCAUGGAAUAUGUCUAUUGAAGCUCAACCAAGAGCCUGGGGAGUUCAGUUUAAUUCAGGCAUUCAGACUAUUGCUAUUAUAUCUGUUAGGGAAGGCAUAAUUCAGCUUGGCUCAUUUAACAAGGCAUUUGAAGAUCAUAAUCUAGUAUUAAACAUUCAGAGGAAAUUCAGCUACCUUCAGAGCAUACCGGGUAUUUAUGCAAUUCAGAGACCAUUUUUGCCAAUCCAACAUCCAUAUACUUACAAGCCAAACAAUGUCACUCUAGUUAACGAGACGGAUAAUCAAAUGGAUGACAAAAACCAGAUAAUUGGGUCGAAAAGAGUUCAUGAGUUUCCGUUCAAGUCUAUCAACUUUGGCUAUAAUAGCCCACAAACUAUGGCUAGUCUACCUUUGUGGUCGAUGCCUAUAGCAGCACCGUCUUGUUAUGCUAAUGCAGCACAUGAGAUGAGUUCUUUACAUGACAGAGUUACGAGGAACACUACAAGCAAGGAUGUCAAGGUUGUCGAUGAAUUAGGCCAUUUGAAGUUUGAGACAGAUGAGGAAAAUGAUCAAUUUUCCUUAAACCAGAACUUAGGCCUGGAAAAUAAGGUAGUUGAGGUUGGUUUUAGACAAUUAGGAAACGGAGGGGCUGCUCCAAAUCCAAAUUAAUUGCAGUUUAGUGUAAGUAACAAACUGCAAAGAGUCUAAUUACAUAGGGAUCUUUUA